AGUGCUUAUGGUUUUGCCAACUCACCGCCUUGCUUCUCCUGCUCUUAUAUUGGAGAGGCGAAUAAAGUGAAAAGCCUUCAAUAAAGAAGUAAAAACAAUGUAACAGCAGUUUUCCUGGAGUCUACUACACAAGCUACGUGAGGGAUUACCUUGUUUGAAGACAACGCGCUGCCUCCCCAGGGAACCGAACCCGCGAUGUAGCAACUAUUUCCAGUAAAAACUUACACAGAGUCCCGUAGUGAUCGUUGGUGAAUAUCAUUGUUUGAUACAAAGCUAAUCCCGUGAGGAGUUUCUGAUCGGAUUGAAUAGCAGCCAUAUUGAAAAGGAUUAAAAGAACAUUCGAGAAUAGACGAGGUCAAAGACGACAAGACAAGACAAGACAAGACACAUACUCUCUCUCUCCCUCACGUCGCCAGAUAAACCAUGAUGUUGAUGAUGAUGAUGACGAUAAAAAUAAUAAUAAUAAUAAUAAUAAUAAUAAUAAUAAUAAUAAUAAUGAACAAUGAUAAUGAUAACAAGCCGUAUGAAGUCGUGUAAUAUAGCAAAGAGAAACAGCAUCGUGUGUCCCGGAAAUCAGACAUCGACUUAACUUGACGACGGUUUUGUCACUAAUUGGCAAAAACUA